rnacentral:rRNA from 1 species
AAAGUUUGAUCCUGACUUAGAAUGAACGCUUUAAACGUACCUAUGACACAAAUGCUAAUUGAACUGGAAAAAGUUUUUGUUCUGGUUAGUGUACAGGUGAGUAAUAAACAAAGUUAAAAUUUUAAAUAUAAAGAAUAAAAAGUAUAUGUUGUUAUGCAAUGUGUUCUAUAAUAAUUCUUUAUUUGUGCUUUUGUGCGAGUUAAAAAUUUUAUUUAUAAUUGAAUUUUGUUGUUCGAUUAACUAUUUAAUAUUAUAAAUGAAUAUUAAGGUCAUUAUCGAUAACUGGUCUUAGAGGAUGUACAGUCACAUUAGAAUUGAAAUAAUGUCUAAACUUUUAAUUAAAGGUGAGCAAGAGGGAAUAUUCUGCAAUUAGUGAAAACUAGACAGAGUGACGUUCAGUGAAGGUAGAAACUAAAGUGUAAACUUCUGUGUAUAAUUUUAUAACAAGUGACACAAAUUAUAAGAAAAUAUCGGCCAACUCUGUGCCAGCAGCCGCGGUAAUACAGAGGAUAUUAGUGUUAUUCAUAAUUAUUGGGCGUAAAGCAUUUUUAGAUGGAAAAUUGUAUUAAACGAUAAAUUUAAAAAUAGUCUUUUUAAGCAUCCGUUUAACAUUAGUUUUCUAUGAGAGUAAUUUGAGUUUAAGGAAUUUAGUGAGUAACAGUGAAAUGUCUCAUGAGACACUAAGGAAGACCAAAAAUGAAAAUAUUAAACUAGAUUAUUUCCGACAUUUGAAAAUGAAAGCUAAAGCAGCAAAUGGGAUUAGAUACCCCAGUAGUUUUAGCCGUAAACGAUGAAUAUUAAAAAUUGGAAAUUGAUUUUAUUAAUUAAAAUUUUCAGUUUUAAAGCUAACGCGUUAAAUAUUCCGCCUGAGUAGUACGUUCGCAAGAAUGAAAUUUAAAGGAACUGACGGGAGCUUAUCCAAGUGAUGGGUCAUGUUACUUAAUUCGAUGAACCCCGAAGAAUCUUACCAACGUUUAACAAAGUUGAUUGAUUAUUUUUAUCUAAUAAUUUUAAUCAACGGAAAAGGUGAUGCAUGGUUGUCGUCAGCUAGUGCUGUGAAGUGUCAAAUUAAGUUUUGUAACUAGCGCAACCCUUAUUAUUUAUUUUUUGUAUUGUAAUAUGUUUUUCUUGUAUUGCGUAUACAGAGAAAAAGGAAGAAAAGGAUAACGUCAAAUCUUUAUGUCCCUUAUGUGUUGGGCGAAUUGCGUGACACAAUGGAAAAUACAAUGAAGAUACUAUUUUGUUUAAAUAUUUUAAGAAAAAAUUUAGUAUUAGUAAAAUUUUCCUAAGUACGAAUUAUAAACUGCAAGGUUUGUAUGUAAGUAGGAACCACUAGUAAUCGUUAGUCAGCUAUAUAACGGUGAAUAUGUAAGUAAGCUUUGUACACACCGCCCGUCGCGCCCCGAAAUUGAAUUGUUUAUAAGUUGUUUAUGGGCAACAAACAACGAAUUUAAGAUCGGGACGAAGUCGUAACAAGGUAGCCGUACUGGAAGGUGCGGCUG